UACGGAGGAUCCGAGCGUUAUCCGGAUUUAUUGGGUUUAAAGGGAGCGUAGGCGGAGGAUCAAGUCAGCUGUGAAAUGUAGGCGCUCAACGCCUGCACUGCAGUUGAAACUGGUUCCCUUGAGUGCGUAAGGGGCAGGCGGAAUUCGUCGUGUAGCGGUGAAAUGCUUAGAUAUGACGAAGAACUCCGAUCGCGAAGGCAGCUUGCCGGGCUGCAACUGACGCUGAAGCUCGAAGGUGCGGGGAGCAAAC
rnacentral:rRNA from 1 species